AACAAAAAAACGACGCCAGUCUGUCUUGACAACACCUGAGAAUUUUACCUGUCUACCCUUGUUUUGUUAAAAAAAUAGUCUUUUCUUACGGUCCUUAUGGGUGCUGUGAAUGUUUUCGUACAAACACACACACACAACUAACCAGCCAGUUCUUUCCAAUUAUACACCUCACAUAGGAAAAAGGAAAACCAGCCUGUCC